rnacentral:lncRNA from 1 species
GAACACUGAAAAACUAGACUGGAAGAGAAAACAGCCUCCGUUAGCAGCUAUUAAUCUGUUUUGUUUGUACCACAGGACAGCAAUGAUAAACCUUUUGGGUGUUUGUUGCCAAAUGAAUUUAAAAGACUAUGCAACCUCGUGUUGGUUCAGAUCUCUCCAGUACCAAAUUUGGGAGUGAAUCAUCAUGCCACAGUGGUUUUGCUACUGAACUGAUGCUUCUGCUCCAUUGACUGCAGUGAGACAUAUAGAGACGAGGCCCUGAGAUCAGCUUUAACCUAAUCCUGAUCUUUCCUCAAGGAGAAUUCUGAAGGAAAUUGAAGGCCUGUACUGUGCUAAUUGUUGAAUAGACUAACCAGAGGAAAAAAAAGGUUUCCCUAGAGUAAAGAUGCUCAUAGCCAAGUUUCCACCUUCAGCAGCAGGUGCGUGGAGGAGAGGAUAAAGGGCAAGGCGAUCAGUCCAUGAAUGAUGUGGCAACUCAGGAGGUUUCCUUGCAUUCUGAAGAUCUCUCUGAGUCAUAGUGAGGCACGUAUGCAUGAGCAAGUCGGGAACUGGUGACAGGAGCUCCACUUCUUCCAUGAUCAAACUAAACAAAACCAAGCGUCUCUGCACCCUUGAGCUUCUGCAGUGCCAGGUAAUAAGUAUAGAGAAUGAGCUGAUGUACAGUUCUUCCUCUGCCACUAUGUAAGUCUGGUUCUUGACAUGAUGUGAGCACUGCUGAGUUUGGUGGCUUGUUUUGUUUUGCUUUAGUUAAGCAGGAAUCAUAUUGUGCCUUUGUAUUAACGUACAUAUUAUACUUACAUACAAAUGAAUAAUAGUAGUUAUACUACAUUAAAUAAAAGUAUUUUUAGAAGUAUUUUUCUGAGAAAC